rnacentral:lncRNA from 1 species
CUUGAAUUCUGUUAAGCUGAAUGGGAAAAGCCUUCAAAUUCAUAUGCUACAGCGUAUAAAGGAAAAGACCCCCAAAGCUUGAUUUGAUGCAUCUCAUACAAAUCCACCCCAUGGAUCUGACAACUGCCUGCGAUUCUUUCUAAUUGAAGCAGAGAUCAUUGAAAAGUCUCAGAAGACAAAACUUACCUGAAUUAAGAUGUCAGAUAUCCUAGCAUUUGGGAAUUAUGCCAGUGGUAAUAGAGUUGUAGUAUUUUCUGCUGUGGACACAGAAGAAAAACUCCCAGAGAAAAACACCAGAGCCAGCCAAUAAAGUUCAUCAUCCUUUUCACAGUCAUACCUGCACACUUCUUUCCAGUUCACCUCCUGCAGGACAACUUCAGAUAACUCCUGAAACUCAGGUCAGUCUGCCCCUCCAGAAUUAAAGUGCCUCUGGUUUGAGAUGAACAAAAUUCAACUCAGCAUAAACAGCAACUCUUGGAGUUGUUACUGUGUUACCUUAAUUUCCUUACUGGAGAAGUAAAAAUACAAUAAUGUAUGGAAUGUUUGCA